CACCGUGCAGAAACUAUAGAUGGCGUUAUAAUCCCGACAGUAGAGACACCGUGCGAGUAAAAAAAGAAACUUUCCAGACCCAUUGGUUGUCACUGUCUAGUCUGUAAAUGUGAUUUUACAAUGAUUAAAAAUAUAAAAUAUAAAAUACAAUGAUUAAAAUUAUAAAAUAUGGUUUUCUACCAAUAAACAAUGAUCGGCAACGUGGUCAAAAUAUAUCAAAAGGCCAAAAGCUAUUCGAGUCGGGCCAUGUUUUUGAUGUCAUAGUAACAGUUGGCCAAGAACAAGAAACAAUAUUAACUGGCAAAAUUGUUGCUCAGACAAAAAUUUCAAAUGUAUAUGAUGUUAAGAUAACACUUGAUUGCAAUAGAAACAUUAAAAGUGCAACUUGUAAUUGCAAGGCAGGUCUAUCAGGACAAUGUAAGCACGUCUGUGCCUUAGUGCAUUACGUAAAUUCUGCAGAAAGUGCAGAAUCGAAAACCAGUUAUGCACAACAAUGGGGCAAACCAACGUACCGACAGUUACUGGGUUAUGAUAAAGGAGUGACAAUGGCAGAGUUAUUUCCAACUCCACCAAUAAGUAUUAAAGUAUUACGUGUGUUUUA